rnacentral:rRNA from 1 species
UACGUAGGGUGCAAGCGUUAAUCGGAAUUACUGGGCGUAAAGCGUGCGCAGGCGGUUCGCUAAGACAGAUGUGAAAUCCCCGGGCUUAACCUGGGAACUGCAUUUGUGACUGGCGGGCUAGAGUAUGGCAGAGGGGGGUAGAAUUCCACGUGUAGCAGUGAAAUGCGUAGAGAUGUGGAGAAAUACCGAUGGCGAAGGCAGCCCCCUGGGCCAAUACUGACGCUCAUGCACGAAAGCGUGGGGAGCAAACAGG